UUGAACGCUGGCGGCAUGCUUUACACAUGCAAGUCGAACGGCAGCGGGGGCUUCGGCCUGCCGGCGAGUGGCGAACGGGUGAGUAAUGCAUCGGAACGUACCCAGUCGUGGGGGAUAACUACGCGAAAGCGUGGCUAAUACCGCAUACGCCCUGAGGGGGAAAGCGGGGGACCGUAAGGCCUCGCGCGAUUGGAUCGGCCGAUGUUCGAUUAGCUAGUUGGUGGGGUAAAGGCCUACCAAGGCGACGAUCGAUAGCUGGUCUGAGAGGACGACCAGCCACACUGGAACUGAGACACGGUCCAGACUCCUACGGGAGGCAGCAGUGGGGAAUUUUGGACAAUGGGGGCAACCCUGAUCCAGCCAUUCCGCGUGAGUGAAGAAGGCCUUCGGGUUGUAAAGCUCUUUCAGCCGGAACGAAACGGUACGCUCUAACAUAGCGUGCUAAUGACGGUACCGGCAGAAGAAGCACCGGCUAACUACGU
rnacentral:rRNA from 1 species